UACGAAGGGGGCUAGCGUUGUUCGGAAUUACUGGGCGUAAAGCGCACGCAGGCGGCUCGACAAAUUAGAAGUGAAAGCCCCGGGCUUAACCUGGGAAUUGCUUUUAAGACUGUCGAGCUAGAAUCCAGAAGAGGGUAGUGGAAUUCCGAGUGUAGAGGUGAAAUUCGUAGAUAUUCGGAAGAACACCAGUGGCGAAGGCGACUACCUGGUCUGGCAUUGACGCUCAUGUGCGAAAGCGUGGGGAGCAAACAGG
rnacentral:rRNA from 1 species